ACCAGGUCGCAAUUGUAAAUGAGAACUUGUUCUCAACUUGCCUACCUGGUUAAAUAAAGGUGUUCUCAACUAGCCUACCUGAUUAAAUAAAGGUGUUCUCAACUAGCCUACCUGGUUAAAUAAAGGUGUUCUCAACUAGCCUACCUGGUUAAAUAAAGGUGUUCUCAACUAGCCUACCUGGUUAAAUAAAGGUGUUCUCAACUGGCCUACCUGGUUAAAUAAAGGUGUUCUCAACUAGCCUACCUGGUUAAAUAAAGGUGUUCUCAACUGGCCUACCUGGUUAAAUAAAGGUGUUCUCAACUAGCCUACCUGGUUAAAUAAAGGUGUUCUCAACUAGCCUCCCUGGUUAAAUAAAGGUGUUCUCAACUAGCCUCCCUGGUUAAAUAAAGGUGUUCUCAACUAGCCUACCUGGUUAAAUAAAGGUGUUCUCAACUGGCCUACCUGGUUAAAUAAAGGUGUUCUCAACUAGCCUCCCUGGUUAAAUAAAGGUGUUCUCAACUAGCCUACCUGGUUAAAUAAAGGUGUUCUCAACUAGCCUACCUGGUUAAAUAAAGGUGUUCUCAACUAGCCUACCUGGUUAAAUAAAGGUGUUCUCAACUAGCCUACCUGGUUAAAUAAAGGUGUUCUCAACUGGCCUACCUGGUUAAAUAAAGGUGUUCUCAACUGGCCUACCUGGUUAAAUAAAGGUGUUCUCAACUAGCCUACCUGGUUAAAUAAAGGUGUUCUCAACUAGCCUCCCUGGUUAAAUAAAGGUGUUCUCAACUAGCCUCCCUGGUUAAAUAAAGGUGUUCUCAACUAGCCUACCUGGUUAAAUAAAGGUGUUCUCAACUAGCCUACCUGGUUAAAUAAAGGUGUUCUCAACUAGCCUACCUGGUUAAAUAAAGGUGUUCUCAACUAGCCCACCUGGUUAAAUAAAGGUGUUCUCAACUAGCCUACCUGGUUAAAUAAAGGUGUUCUCAACUGGACUACCUGGUUAAAUAAAGGUGUUCUCAACUAGCCUACCUGGUUAAAUAAAGGUGUUCUCAACUGGCCUACCUGGUUAAAUAAAGGUGUUCUCAACUGGCCUACCUGGUUAAAUAAAGGUGUUCUCAACUAGCCUACCUGGUUAAAUAAAGGUGUUCUCAACUGGCCUACCUGGUUAAAUAAAGGUGUUCUCAACUGGCCUACCUGGUUAAAUAAAGGUGUUCUCAACUGGCCUA